CUUUAUUGGAGAGUUUGAUCCUGGCUCAGGAUGAACGCUGGCGGCGUGCCUAAUACAUGCAAGUCGAGCGAAUGGAUUGAGAGCUUGCUCUCAAGAAGUUAGCGGCGGACGGGUGAGUAACACGUGGGUAACCUACCCAUAAGACUGGGAUAACUCCGGGAAACCGGGGCUAAUACCGGAUAACAUUUUGAACCGCAUGGUUCGAAAUUGAAAGGCGGCUUCGGCUGUCACUUAUGGAUGGACCCGCGUCGCAUUAGCUAGUUGGUGAGGUAACGGCUCACCAAGGCAA
rnacentral:rRNA from 1 species